rnacentral:lncRNA from 10 species
UUUUUUUUUUUUUUUGAGACAGGAUCUUGCUCUGUUGCCCAGGCUGGAGUGCAGUAGUGCAAUCAUAGCUCACUGCAGCCUCCAACUCCUGGGCUCAAGUGAUCCUUCCACCUUAGCCUCCUGAGCACCUAGGGCUACAAGCAUGUGCCACCACACCUAAUUUUUCAAAAAGUCUUUUGUAGAGAUGGGAUCUCACUCUGUUGCCCAGGCUGGUCUUGAACUCCAGGGCUCAAGUGGCCCUCCUGCCUCAGCCUCCUAACAUGCUGGAAUUACAGGCAUGAGUUACUGCACCCAGUUCAAUACAGACUUUUUAAGAUCUGUGAUUUUUGAAAGUUAGAAUUCAUGCUUAGACCCAGCUGUAUUUUUUGAAUCACUUCAUUCAUGAAAAAUGAAGUCCAGAAUUCAAAUAAGGACAAGUGUAAUCUCCAUGGUUUCCGCCAGACAGAAGGACAAGUAAAUCACAAGAGAGGCUAAACUAUGUGUCCUGUGUGUCAACAGAGUCUAGGAUUAUCAGCUCCUGGGCUAUUUUGACGAUCCAUCUUUAGGUUGGGUGGGAACCCCACGAUUCUGCAUUAAGCUGAUUUUGUCAUCUUUUCAGGAGGCUUACUCUGCACCUAAGCUAUUCCUCUUCUCUUUGAAGUUCUAGUUGGCAAAGGACCGAGUUAUCUGAAUCUCACAGUAUUUAGUUUUUUCUGGCUUAAGUUUCUGGUCUCAGACUUAGGGCUUCUGAUUGAGAGCACCUCAUGAAUAUUCAAAGGAGAUACAGCAGCACAUUUUAAUUUGAUCUAAUUAGUGACAGACGACGCCUUUUCCUUUUGAGAUAUUGAUUUGUUUAAAGUAGCACACAGACCUUGUGGCUGCUAUUCCAUUGGCAUUUCUGACAGAGUAUCCCUGGUGUAAGAAUAGAGCUAGCUGCAUAAAUCUGUUAGUUGGUCUAGUAUGUUUAUCAAGUAUCUGAUGCCUGAACUCAGGAGUCUAAGGAAUAACUAGCAAAUAUGACUUAACCAUGAAAUUCCACUCCUGUGAACGAAAUAACAAUUCAGUUGGUCAGCACUUGAUUUCUGAGACUGGCAAAACAUCAUAUCGAGAUGUCAUUUUUAUAGGUACCAUGAUGGUAAAAGUAUAGCAAAUUUUGGAUAGAGACUAGUUGGUCUUUCCCAAAUGACAUCUUUUCAUUACGUACAUGCCCUCAAUUCUAGACCAUCUCAAUGUUCUCAAGAAGGCUCUGAGACCCACAUAACUUUGGGAAAAUGUUCCCUUUUCUGAAUUCAUAGCAAUUACCGUCUGUAUCACUUCUUUGGAAUUAAUUAUGUACAAGCAGACCCCAAAUUAUGGCAGGCUUGUCAUUGAAAAGUUUACUUGUACUUUCAUUGUUUAGAACUUGGAAUAAAUGGUGGUUGGAUUUCCAGCUGGCCCAUGGAAGCCUCUUUAACCUACAAUGUAUUAUUAGUCCUGUCGUCGUUCCUCAUUGUUUUCAAGGAAAACGUGUCCUGACUUCCAAGCUGGACUUUGGGAAGCUGGGAAGAGAUCUUUCUCUGGAGCUCAAGCCUCUGGGGGUGCCAUGUGACUUGGCAUGUCCCCUUCUCUCCUCUCUGACUCACAAGGAGACAUUGUCACUCUCAGGAAUGACAAGAAGAGCAUCCCUGGGCAUCACCAAAGCCAAAAGAAAUAUCACGUGUGAAAUUCAAUGAUUGUGGUUGUUUCUCAAAAACAGGUAUUCAGUAGGCAUUUGUAACUCCGAAGCUUCCUGUACUUAAACCGUGACAAAGCUUAUAUGUUUAUAUUAAGCUUUUAAUAUUUUAUGACUGUCUUCAUGGUUUAUGUUCCUGGUGUAUGGGAACCAUAUCUCAGUUUC